UUCGAGACCAGCCUGGCCAACAUGGUGAAACCCCAUCUCUACCAAAAAUACAAAAAUCAGCCGGGCAUGGUGGCUGGCACCUGUAAUCCCAGCUAUCUGGGAGGCUAAGGUGGGAGAAUUGCUUGAACCUGGGAGGUGGAGGUUGCAGUGAGCCAAGAUCACACCACUGCACUCCAGCCUGGGUGACAGAGCAAGACUCCGUCUCAAAAACCAAAAACAAGAAACAAAAAAGAAGUGCCACAGCUUGGGGUAGGAACUGACUGCAUUUUGGGAGGUGGGGUGGUUGUGACCAGCAGUGCUUGACAAGGGAUAUGCAGGGUCCUUAUGUUCAGGGACUGGGAUACCCUGAGGGAAGAAGGACUUCCCGGGAUGAGCUGGGCGGAAUUUGGGGGGCCGCCCUCCCAGCUGACCGCGGUGUCGGUGCCUCCAGGGGUGUGUGGAAUGUACCAUACAUCUCCCAGGCCUAUGUGAUCCGGGGUGAUACCCUGCGGAUGGAGCUGCCCCAGAGGGACGUGUUCUCGGGCAGUGACACAGACCCGGACAUGGCCUUCUGUAAGAGCUUUCGAGACAAGGGCAUCUUCCUCCAUCUGAGCAAUCAGCAUGAAUUUGGCCGGCUCCUGGCCACUUCCCGAUACGACACGGAGCACCUGCACCCCGACCU
rnacentral:sRNA from 1 species